rnacentral:tRNA from 1 species
CGCGGGGAUGGAGCAAGGGAGGCUCACUAGGUUCAUACCCUGGAAAUCAGCAAGUUCAACUCUUGCCCCCGUUACCA